UACGGAGGGUGCGAGCGUUAAUCGGAAUUACUGGGCGUAAAGCGCGCGUAGGCGGUCUGAUCAGCCGGUUGUGAAAGCCCCGGGCUCAACCUGGGAACGGCAUCCGGAACUGUCAGGCUAGAGUGCAGGAGAGGAAGGUAGAAUUCCCGGUGUAGCGGUGAAAUGCGUAGAGAUCGGGAGGAAUACCAGUGGCGAAGGCGGCCUUCUGGACUGACACUGACGCUGAGGUGCGAAAGCGUGGGUAGCAAACAGGAUUAGAUACCCGCGUA
rnacentral:rRNA from 1 species